rnacentral:lncRNA from 1 species
AUCCCGUUUCCCUGCACGCCCGUCACCCUAGUUCCACAGUUAGAAGUGUACGGGCAAGCAGAAUUCCGGUCCCUCAUUGUACCAUCCCCUAAUCACCAGGACAAAUGGGCAGUCUUUCUCCCAAUAAUAAUAGGUCUCUCUCUAGCACCUUCCCUUGCAGCAACCGGAAUACAGGGUGGGACCAUGGGUUACAGCGUCAAUACAGCUGCCCAACUAGAAGACAAACUUCGUGUGGCUACUGAAGCAUCAGCUGCCUCUUUAGCCUUGCUCCAGCGACAACUUACUUCACUGGCGCAGGUUUUUACAAGCCCGUCUAAGAGAAAUUUCCAGGGUAGCUGUAAACCAAAUGUUACUUCACCCAUACGUCCGGACACAACGGCCAGCCAACUGACCUCCCCACUCCACCACCGUUCAACAGGAAGUAGUCAGAAAGAAACAGUGCCCUAUGUCAUCAAAAAGGUCGGGAUGUAAGGUCAAUAGCCUUGCUAAGAGCCGGGAACAACACCCACCCCUCUCUAUGCCUGAUAACAAUUUAUCAGGCAGAACACAUUACUCAGCAACUGGCUCCUCCAUGCGGGCUCCCCUCGCCCACUUCUGCAUUCUGCCCCCAGGUCUACAUUCAGCACUAGACUAUGCACUCUCAGCACCAAGCUAUGCAUUUGAACCUCAGCACUAAACUAUACAUCUGAACCCACGAAAAUUGAAGAUAUCCUGCCAAGCCUUACCCAAUGGCAGCCCACCCCAUGCAUCCUAGGCCAGGCCCCCCACUAACCCCCAUAAAACCCCCUGCCCUGAGAAGUCAAGCGUGACUUCUCUGGCCCUCUUUCCUUAGGACCACAGAACCUCGCCCAGGAGAUAAAUAAAUUGGCAUCUGAUUGUUCUUAUACUGGCCUCAGUUUCCUUUUCAACUCGGCAGUAACCAUUACAAUCAUCCCAGAAAAUAAAAUUAACCUAUCAGAUUCUCUAGCUCUGAGUACAUAUAUGUUCUUAUUUUCACUCAUCCAUUUUAUGCAAUGACAGUUUUUGUGAUAAAAUAACUUCAACAUGCAAUAAAGGAGAUAAUCUCUUCUUUGUCAUAUACUGCAUCUACCCACUUAAUUUUUAUUCUUAUACUUCAGGAAGCUGGAUGCUCUUAACUUAUAUAGUUCAGUUUUUUCAAUCUCUGCUUGUCUAAUCCUUUGCAAUGUGUUAAAAUAUUGGCGAUAUAACAGAAUUUGUCCAAUUUCAAUAAUAAAAUCAUAGAAUAUUAUAACCAGAAGGAAUCUUAGGAAUCCUGUUAGCCACCCCCUCAUUUUGUAUAUGAGAACACUGAGGACCAGUAACCAGAAUGCUGGUCAAACUCUGCCAUGCCAGUUAAUGUUUCCUUCAGAAACACUAGUACCUACUGCAGGAAAAAAAAUCAUUACAAAAUCCACACAUUAGAAAAGUCUUUCAAAUACUAUGAUUUUUUUUUAAGGAUGAUUUUGGCCAUGUCACUUUUAUAUGGUGUCCUUGCAAUACAGGAAAAGAUGCUACCAUCAUUCAGCAACUGAAGGAUAAAGGACCUCGCUAGGGAUACAGUGGACUCUGUGAUAUUCAGUGGUUGAUCUAAUCACAGCACCCCAGGCAGCAAGGUAGCAUCCUGGAGUUAAUGUGAUGCUUUCCAAGCUUCUAACUCAUUCAUUCAUGUUCAUUGAGCCCCUCUCCUGGGUAAAUUUCAUUAAGUCCUUAUGAGAAAUGAAAUUAGGAAAAGUAUAACUUGUCUACAAAAUAAUAAUUAAAUUUCACUUAAGAGGAAAGCAUGCAUCUCUGAUUCUACUAGCACAACACUGGGACAAAAUGGGAUACAUAGCUUAUGUUAAAACAAAAUACCAACAACAACAAACCUAAGCAUAAAUUCAGGAAAGUAAAGUGAUAGGACAGCAGUCAUCCUGUAUGCUAAGUGAAAAACUCCACUGAAGAUUUGCAUUUUAUCUUUGCAUCUAGCCUUUGUCAAAAAGAGCAGCUCCUUCUUUGAUGGGCAGGCUACUAAAUACUACCAUCCAUUGUCUACAUUCAAAUGUAAUUAGUCUCUGUUUGAAAGAAACAUUUAAGACUGAGUGACUUGGGGGGAGGGAGAGGAAUGUAAGUAAUCCUAUUUUUACAUUCAACCAAACAUGAAGACAACAAGAAAACCUGCAAGGAAAAGCAAUGAAAUUAUUUUCACAGUAUGUGAACAUCAUCAUUCACUGCUAGUCUGUCACUGCUAGUCUGUCACAAUAUGUCUUUAAAAAUUUUUGAUUUCAGUACUUUAGAUUUCAGUCCCUGUAUGACAACCUGUAAAACAUCAACAUGAACUAUGGAAGGAUCACAUAACCCUGAAUACUACAAGAGGAAGUUGAUCAGGUUUAGCUUCAUAUAUUUACAGUUAAAAUAGAACACAUGAGAAAAUCUUUUCAGAGACAAAGGAACUAGCUUUAUAAAGGCACAUUCAGAAAUAUAAAAUAACUGAUAGAUGUAAACUUCUGCAAUUAAUUAAUUUUCUGGAUUAGUAUAAAUAAUAUGAAAAACAGUUCUGGUAUCUUAUCAUUUAUUCAUCAAACAUUCAUAUGCAAUAUAUGAGAAGCUGGGGCAGGGGUGUAAAAAAAAUGAACAAAGCACAAAUAUACCCACUUUCAUGGAACUUACAUUCUAGACCAGGGUUUGGGGAGGAGAGCAGAUGAUAAAUAGCAACAAAUAAAGAUGAGGCCCCUAUCUUGUGGGGCUCACAAUCAAGUUGGGAGAAAAAUAUAUAAAAAUAAAUAGCCACAUGAAGAUUAAAAGAAGCAAAGAAAGCUCUGUACAUAGGGAUAGUAAGUCUUUGGUUGUUUAUUACCCUGUCUUCAUUUGAAGAGUUGUGGUUUCUAUAAAGACCAAUCCAAAGCCAAGAAUUACACUGUGUUGAUGAUACCAUUUAUAAAUGAGAGCCAGUAGAGAAAAUAUGUAAGAAAGUAUGUCAAAGUCCUAGGAAGUUAGGGUACUCUAGAAAUUUCCCUAAUAAUUAAGGGUAAAAAAUAAUCUGUUGCGGAGGAUACAAGAUGGCAGAUUAGACACAACUCCAGUGCACAACACCCAGCAAGAGAGACGCAGAAACCCAGAGAUCUCCUAGCUCCAACCGAGGUACCAGGUGCGUUUCAAUGGGUCUGGUCCGAGGGUGAGCAAAGCCCACUCAGGGCAGACAGAGGCGGGGAGGGGUGCCACAACAAACCUAAGCUUAAAUCCAGGAAAGUAAAGUGAUAGGACAACAGACAUACUGUAUGCUAAGUAAAAAACUCCACUGAAGAUUUGUAUUUUAUCUUUGCGUCUAGCCUUUGUCAAAAAGAGCAGCUCCUUCAUUGAUGGGCAGAAAGUGCAUCUGACUGGCG